rnacentral:lncRNA from 1 species
CCAAAGUAGCGCAUCUCUAGACAAGCCGAAAGAAAAGAGGCGGCGACAACUACGGAAAGAGCGGCUUAAACACCGCAUCUUCAUCGAGAGAGGAGGAAUCCUCCGGCUUGUCCAGCGGCUUGACGUACUUGACAAAGCGGAAAUGUCGCCCAGAGAAUUCCGCCCGGCGUCCCGCAUCGGAAAUGCCGUACUCGACCACGAGACUGCGGACAUCGCGAAAGUAGUCCUUGGUGACGCUCACGCACCUGUCCACGUCGUCGACUUCUGGAGGCGGGACGGGCUUUUGCAUCUCGCUCGAAAAGUGCGCCGCAGAGCCGCCCUCGUGGAGUUUGUGAAACUUGAUGAUCGUGCGCAUGCAGUCGCUGUAGCCUCGGUGCUUCUCGUCGAUGGCACGUUGCAUGAGGAACCGCUGUUCCUGCGCCAACCUGGAAUAAGAGAAGCGCAGAGCCACACAUGUAUACACCUUGAUUAAAUCCUCGUGCAAGGCAGGUACCUCUCGGAACAAAAUCGUGUGUACCUCUUUGAUGCAAACAUGGAGAGUAUUCUUGAUCGAGAAUGGCCGUGAGCGCUCUUGUGCCAGCCGUCGCGGUAGAAACACCCAAGAAGAACAAGCCGCGCAUUCUCUUUGGCGGCGUGCCAAAAGUAUAGGGGGCGCGUUGGCCGCGCUGUCUACACGGCCGACGGUUGCGUUUUGCAGUGUUGAUAGGCAGUCAUGCGUAAUCGACAGGCAGACGUCCAGGCCGCCAUGCAGGCCCAUUGCCCCUAUUAUAGGAGGAACAGCAAUGCCAUCCGCGCCCACGACCGAGAAAUAACAACGCGAAAGAGAUCUCACCGCCCUGCAGUUGCAGGUUCCAGUGUCGCCCGAUCCCAACCAAGUCGUGGUUUACCGAUGAAUGGUCAGUAUUGGCUUAUAAAGGGUCGGCCGAGCAUCAGCAGGCGUCGCGCGCAUCCCAACAAGACACAAUCGCAGGGCAAACAAGGUGAGUCGAUUGGGGGAGAGUAAAAAAAGAGGACAAGCCGCCGGCGGCUUAUAUCGU